rnacentral:rRNA from 1 species
GACGAACGCUGGCGGCGUGCUUAACACAUGCAAGUCGAACGGUAAGGCCCUUCGGGGUACACGAGUGGCGAACGGGUGAGUAACACGUGGGUGAUCUGCCCUGCACUUCGGGAUAAGCCUGGGAAACUGGGUCUAAUACCGGAUAGGACCCUGGGAUGCAUGUCCUGGGGUGGCAAGCUUUUGCGGUGUGGGAUGGGCCCGCGGCCUAUCGGCUCGUUGGUGGGGUGAUGGCCUACCAAGGCGACGAGGGGUAGCCGGCCUGAGAGGGGGACCUGCCAAGCUGGGACGGGGAUACGGCCCAGACUCCUACGGGAGGCAGGAGUGGGGAAUAGUGCACGAUGGGCGCAAGCCUGACGCAGCGACGCCGCGUGAGGGAUGACGGCCUUCGGGUUGUAAACCUCUUUCAGCACCGACGAAGCGCAAGUGACGGUAGGUGCAGAAGAAGGACCGGCCAACUACGUGCCAGCCGCCGCCGUAA